UAUAUAUAUAUAUAUAUAUUUGAUGUCAAUUUGAGGCAAAUUUUAUUCGCGGUUGACACACAAACACACUCUAGCCGGUGUUUUUUGUUUUUUUUUGUUAUAUAGAUACAUCAUGUAAAGCAUAAGAGAUUUUCAGAAUUGAAAACCACUGGUUCCACUUCUUUUACAUAUCUGCCAUUACCAGAGACCCACUUUCAAGUCUCUUGUAAAAUUGAAACAAUUUGUACAAUUUUCGCUUUCCUUUUAUAAGUCUCGAAGUUAAAACUAGAGUAAUAGUAAUAUAGUAUAAAGGAGGUCCGUGCAAGUGACAGAGAUUGAAAAUGUAUGCCACGUCACCACUGAAGUACAUACAUAUACUUUUUAAAGGGCUAUUUCAAAAUAACUAAGAUCUACUCAAGUAUAAUAAUACUUUGUUUGUUUGUUUGUACUUUGUAUCUUUAAUCUCAUUAAUUCAUUGCAUUUUUUGAAACAAUAAACAUAAAAAAACUUUGA